UGCCCACUGAUUAAAUAUUAAAGGGCUGCAGUAAUUUGACUGUACAAAGGUAGCAUAAUCAUUAGUCAUUUAAUUGAUGACUUGUAUGAAAGAUUGGAUGAAAUAUAAGCUGUCUUAAGAGUAAUUAUAGAAUUUAAUUUUUUAGUUAAAAAGCUAAAAUUUAUUAAAAAGACGAGAAGACCCUAUAGAGUUUUAUUAUUAUUUUAAUUAAAAUUAUUUAUAAAUUUAUUAAUUAAAAUUUUUUUAAUAAUUUUGUUGGGGUGAUAGAAAAAUUAAAUAAACUUUUUUUUUAAUUUAUACAUUAAUAAGUGAAAAUUUGAUCCGAUUAUAUCGAUUAUAAGAAAAAAUUACCUUAGGGAUAACAGCGUAAUUUUAUUUUUUAGUUCAAAUAAAAAGUAAAGUUUGCGACCUCGAUGUUGGAUUAAGAUAAAAUUUAAAUGCAGAAGUUUAAAAUUUUGA
rnacentral:rRNA from 1 species